AGCAAUCUUGACAUUCUAACAAUAUGAAUCUCGCACUCAUCUUAGCCAUCAUACUGCUUGCUCAGAGUGCCCCAAAAACCAAAGGAAGGUCGCCGACCAGCCCCCCAACUUAAAGCUCAAUUUUUAAUAUUAUGUUUCUUUCUUUCCAAAAAGGAAACUUUUGGAAUUGUCUUGAAUAAAUGGCUUAACUAAGCUAUGAGAACAUA